rnacentral:rRNA from 1 species
CCCUUAGAUGUUCUGGGCCGCACGCGCGCUACACUGAUGAAUGCAACGAGCUCUACCCUUGACCGAAAGGCCCGGGUAAACUUGUGAAACUUCAUCGUGAUGGGGAUAGAUUAUUGCAAUUAUUAAUCUUCAACGAGGAAUCCCUAGUAAGCGCGAGUCAUCAGCUCGCGUUGAUUACGUCCCUGCCCUUUGUACACACCGCCCGUCGCUCCUACCGAUUGAAUGGUCCGGUGAAAUCUUCGGAUUGCUGACCAAGAUCCAGCAAUGGAGCUUGGUUGCGAGAAGUUGAUUAAACCUUAUUAUUUAGAGGAAGGAGAAGUCGUAACA